rnacentral:rRNA from 1 species
CACACUAUCAUUAACUGAAUCCAUAGGUUAAUGAGGCGAACCGGGGGAACUGAAACAUCUAAGUACCCCGAGGAAAAGAAAUCAACCGAGAUUCCCCCAGUAGCGGCGAGCGAACGGGGAGNNCGGGACACGUGGUAUCCUGUCUGAAUAUGGGGGGACCAUCCUCCAAGGCUAAAUACUCCUGACUGACCGAUAGUGAACCAGUACCGUGAGGGAAAGGCGAAAAGAACCCCGGCGAGGGGAGUGAAAAAGAACCUGAAACCGUGUACGUACAAGCAGUGGGAGCACAGAGCAAUCUGUGUGACUGCGUACCUUUUGUAUAAUGGGUCAGCGACUUAUAUUCUGUAGCAAGGUUAACCGAAUAGGGGAGCCGAAGGGAAACCGAGUCUUAACUGGGCGUUAAGUUGCAGGGUAUAGACCCGAAACCCGGUGAUCUAGCCAUGGGCAGGUUGAAGGUUGGGUAACACUAACUGGAGGACCGAACCGACUAAUGUUGAAAAAUUAGCGGAUGACUUGUGGCUGGGGGUGAAAGGCCAAUCAAACCGGGAGAUAGCUGGUUCUCCCCGAAAGCUAUUUAGGUAGCGCCUCGUGAAUUCAUCUCCGGGGGUAGAGCACUGUUUCGGCAAGGGGGUCAUCCCGACUUACCAACCCGAUGCAAACUGCGAAUACCGGAGAAUGUUAUCACGGGAGACACACGGCGGGUGCUAACGUCCGUCGUGAAGAGGGAAACAACCCAGACCGCCAGCUAAGGUCCCAAAGUCAUGGUUAAGUGGGAAACGAUGUGGGAAGGCCCAGACAGCCAGGAUGUUGGCUUAGAAGCAGCCAUCAUUUAAAGAAAGCGUAAUAGCUCACUGGUCGAGUCGGCCUGCGCGGAAGAUGUAACGGGGCUAAACCAUGCACCGAAGCUGCGGCAGCGACGCUUAUGCGUUGUUGGGUAGGGGAGCGUUCUGUAAGCCUGUGAAGGUGUACUGUGAGGUAUGCUGGAGGUAUCAGAAGUGCGAAUGCUGACAUAAGUAACGAUAAAGCGGGUGAAAAGCCCGCUCGCCGGAAGACCAAGGGUUCCUGUCCAACGUUAAUCGGGGCAGGGUGAGUCGACCCCUAAGGCGAGGCCGAAAGGCGUAGUCGAUGGGAAACAGGUUAAUAUUCCUGUACUUGGUGUUACUGCGAAGGGGGGACGGAGAAGGCUAUGUUGGCCGGGCGACGGUUGUCCCGGUUUAAGCGUGUAGGCUGGUUUUCCAGGCAAAUCCGGAAAAUCAAGGCUGAGGCGUGAUGACGAGGCACUACGGUGCUGAAGCAACAAAUGCCCUGCUUCCAGGAAAAGCCUCUAAGCAUCAGGUAACAUCAAAUCGUACCCCAAACCGACACAGGUGGUCAGGUAGAGAAUACCAAGGCGCUUGAGAGAACUCGGGUGAAGGAACUAGGCAAAAUGGUGCCGUAACUUCGGGAGAAGGCACGCUGAUAUGUAGGUGAAGUCCCUCGCGGAUGGAGCUGAAAUCAGUCGAAGAUACCAGCUGGCUGCAACUGUUUAUUAAAAACACAGCACUGUGCAAACACGAAAGUGGACGUAUACGGUGUGACGCCUGCCCGGUGCCGGAAGGUUAAUUGAUGGGGUCAGCGCAAGCGAAGCUCUUGAUCGAAGCCCCGGUAAACGGCGGCCGUAACUAUAACGGUCCUAAGGUAGCGAAAUUCCUUGUCGGGUAAGUUCCGACCUGCACGAAUGGCGUAAUGAUGGCCAGGCUGUCUCCACCCGAGACUCAGUGAAAUUGAACUCGCUGUGAAGAUGCAGUGUACCCGCGGCAAGACGGAAAGACCCCGUGAACCUUUACUAUAGCUUGACACUGAACAUUGAGCCUUGAUGUGUAGGAUAGGUGGGAGGCUUUGAAGUGUGGACGCCAGUCUGCAUGGAGCCGACCUUGAAAUACCACCCUUUAAUGUUUGAUGUUCUAACGUUGACCCGUAAUCCGGGUUGCGGACAGUGUCUGGUGGGUAGUUUGACUGGGGCGGUCUCCUCCUAAAGAGUAACGGAGGAGCACGAAGGUUGGCUAAUCCUGGUCGGACAUCAGGAGGUUAGUGCAAUGGCAUAAGCCAGCUUGACUGCGAGCGUGACGGCGCGAGCAGGUGCGAAAGCAGGUCAUAGUGAUCCGGUGGUUCUGAAUGGAAGGGCCAUCGCUCAACGGAUAAAAGGUACUCCGGGGAUAACAGGCUGAUACCGCCCAAGAGUUCAUAUCGACGGCGGUGUUUGGCACCUCGAUGUCGGCUCAUCACAUCCUGGGGCUGAAGUAGGUCCCAAGGGUAUGGCUGUUCGCCAUUUAAAGUGGUACGCGAGCUGGGUUUAGAACGUCGUGAGACAGUUCGGUCCCUAUCUGCCGUGGGCGCUGGAGAACUGAGGGGGGCUGCUCCUAGUACGAGAGGACCGGAGUGGACGCAUCACUGGUGUUCGGGUUGUCAUGCCAAUGGCACUGCCCGGUAGCUAAAUGCGGAAGAGAUAAGUGCUGAAAGCAUCUAAGCACGAAACUUGCCCCGAGAUGAGUUCUCCCUGACUCCUUGAGAGUCCUGAAGGAACGUUGAAGACGACGACGUUGAUAGGCCGGGUGUGUAAGCGCAGCGAUGCGUUGAGCUAACCGGUACUAAUGAACCGUGAGGCUUAACCUUACAACGCCGAAGGUGUUU